rnacentral:rRNA from 1 species
GAUGAACGCUGGCGGCGUGCCUAAUACAUGCAAGUCGAGCGAACAGACGAGGAGUUUGCUCCUCUGACGUUAGCGGCGGACGGGUGAGUGACACGUGGAUAACCUACCUAUAAGACUGGGAUAACUUCGGGAAACCGGAGCUAAUACCGGAUAAUAUAUUGAACCGCAUGGUUCAAUAGUGAAAGACGGUUUUGCUGUCACUUAUAGAUGGAUCCGCGCCGCAUUAGCUAGUUGGUAAGGUAACGGCUUACCAAGGCAACGAUGCGUAGCCGACCUGAGAGGGUGAUCGGCCACACUGGAACUGAGACACGGUCCAGACUCCUACGGGAGGCAGCAGUAGGGAAUCUUCCGCAAUGGGCGAAAGCCUGACGGAGCAACGCCGCGUGAGUGAUGAAGGUCUUCGGAUCGUAAAACUCUGUUAUUAGGGAAGAACAAAUGUGUAAGUAACUAUGCACGUCUUGACGGUACCUAAUCAGAAAGCCACGGCUAACUACGUG